UCCCAGGGGCCCUCCUAGUAUCUCAGAGACUUCCGUUCUCAUACUCUGUCUGGACACAGUGUGUCCGUCUCUCUCACUGUUGAGACGUUCGAGUUCCCAGAGGCUCUUCCUUAUUUCUCUUUUGUCCCUGACCCGCCAGGAGGUGAGAGCAAAGUGCAGCACCCCUCACCUCCACACGUUCCUCUUCCACCUGCUGCCUUGUCGCCCUUCACUGUGUGACCCCAACCCGGCCUCAAGCUCUCUUUACAUAAAGAAGUAAUGGAAGCCAGGCAAUGACAAAACCAGUCCUGCCACAACACAUGGACCUUCAAAUCUGUAUCUCAUCCUUGAGUCCUUGACCUGUUACCACGGAAGCUGAGAAGCUCCACGGGCUGGCCGCUGGGCAAGAAAAUGGGGACCUAAUUUCGGAACAGAAGAGAUGAGCGCAUAUUCUGGGCGAUCUGGGUUUAAGUAGACACACGAUAGUGAGAGGAUGCCACGUGGAGGUCAAACCACUCUGGUCGAUCUUAGUUCUGGAUUCUCCCGGUGGGUCAAAUCCUGGCAUAAAUCAAAGUAUGGUCAAAGAGCUAUUGAGAAGGCAGAGCAGAAGGAACGUACAAGCAAGACUGGUGGAAAUGUAACCACUCCAGAAAACCUCGGUCAGUUUCUCCAAAGUUAAUGUAUGGGACCAUGUGACCCUGACAUCCCACUUCUCGGAAACCACCUGGAGAUGCAGAAGACAGAUGAUCUGCAGAUUGGGACAUGGAACAAGGAGGUGAAAAACACAGACUGUACCUUGCAGACAAUGGAGAUGUCAAAGGUCAACUAGAUCUUUAGUCAAAGGGUUAGAGGUCAAAAUUAGAUUGAGUGAUGGAACAAGCCAAGUGUGAGGAGAAGUGGGAAAUGAGUAUGUGGCAUGGUCCUGAUCAGUUUUGCAUAUAAAAUUCCAAUUCCAAGAAUUCCAAGUCAUUGCAUAGCCCCAGAUUUUAUCAGCUUGGGGGAAGCAAAUCAUCUGGAGAUUCAGGGACUGGACAGAUGGAUCCAGGCUGGAGUUUAAGCUCUCACACUAAGGUCUCCCUGUAGGACAUCAUCGCAUAUAUCUGUGCAGGUUGGGGACUGCAUAAUUCCAAUGGGUCCGACCACACCACAUCUGGUGACACCCCUGGAGUGCUGGGAUCAGUUGUGCAAUACUCCAUGGUCUCUGCAGCUGGAUUCCAAGAACAUGAGGAGGUCUGUUAAAUUUUUUUAGUGAUGGCAGGAAAUA